AAGCGCGUGCGACGAUAACCUUCAACAUCCCUAGCUAGAUAUCGGGUCGAGUGGCAUGUAGCAGCCAAGCGUCCAUAGCGAUGUUUAUCCUUCGAUGUCGGCUUUUCCUAUCACGCCGAAGCAUAAAUCAGAAAGCGUUGCAUUGUUCACCUACUAAUAGGGAUCGUGAGCUGGGUUUAAGGCGCCGUGAGAAAGGUUAGGGAUUUUUCCUUCCUGAUGAAAUGUUGUUGCAAUGGUACUUGAACUUUGUAUGAGAGGAACCACACAUUCGGAAAAUUAGUAUUUGGGCCUGUCCGAGCAGACAAAUAGCCUGAAGACAUCAUCUGAUGGUUAUACCUGCACGCCUAGUCAGAACCCGUGCUAAAAUGCGAUCCAGUACCGAGAGCACACUUCUCAUUGUACUUCUACUACUCUACGCUUAAAUCCUCCCCACCUCACACAAACAAAGCUCUACUCCAGUACAAAGCAGCCUCAUCCCCAAGCCAUCCUUAUCUUCAUAAGCCAGAAAAGCUCUCAUUCGAAUAUUCAU
rnacentral:ncRNA from 1 species